rnacentral:rRNA from 1 species
GACGAACGCUGGCGGCGUGCUUAACACAUGCAAGUCGAACGGAAAGGCCUGCUUUCCCUUGUGGAUUGCGGGUACUCGAGUGGCGAACGGGUGAGUAACACGUGAGUGAUCUGCCCCCAACUUGGGUAUAAGCCUGGGAAACUGGGUCUAAUUCCCGAUAGGACUGCAGGGUGGUGCCUGUGGUGGAAAACGAUUUUCUAGUGGUUGGGGAUGAGCUCGCGGCCUAUCAGCUUGUUGGUGGGGUAAUGGCCUACCAAGGCGGCGACGGGUAGCCGGCCUGGGAGGGUGGACGGCCACAUUGGGACUGAGAUACGGCCCAGACUACUACGGGAGGCAGCAGUGGGGAAUAUUGCACAAUGGGCGGAAGCCUGAUGCAGCGACGCCGCGUGGGGGAUGACGGCCUUCGGGUGGUAAACUCCUUUCGACCGCGAGGAAGCCACCUGGUUGGAAGGGUGGUGACGGUAGUGGUAGAAGAAGCACCGGCUAACUACGUG